UCGGACCUACGGGACGCAGCAGUAGGGAAUCUUCGGCAACGGGCGAAAGCCUGACCGAGCAACGCCGCGUGAAUGAAGAAGGCCUUCGGGUUGUAAAAUUCUGUUAUAAGGGAAGAAAGGUGAUAGGAGGAAAUGACUAUCAAUUGACGGUACCUUAUGAGAAAGCCACGGCUAACUACGUGCCAGCAGCCGCGGUAAUACGGAGGAUGCGAGCGUUAUCCGGAUUUAUUGGGUUUAAAGGGUGCGCAGGCGGCCUGUUAAGUCAGCGGUAAAAGCCCGGGGCUCAACCCCGGCUAGCCGUUGAA
rnacentral:rRNA from 1 species